UGUAAAUGUAAAAAAGUGUAAUAGGACCCCUUUACAAUGUACACCAUUUUUGUAGAGAAUGUGAUGCAUUCAGUCAAAUCUGAUUUAAAUGCUCAUUUACAAAUGAGGUCCUUACAAAUGAAUUAUUUAUAGUGUUAAAUUCAUGACGUUUGUGUUUCACAACAUUUCCAGUCUAAUGACACUAUGAUGCCUUUUUCUCAAAUUAAUUAUGGAACAAAGACGCAGAUCGUGUAUCCACUUGUCAGUCCGUCUGUUUGACAUUUUUGGGUACCACUGCAGGUCAGUCAGGCCUCGUAUUGCGGCUCUAAAACUAGUAACUAAACAGGGUAAUUCCUGUUCGGCAGAGCCUUCUGAACUGAAGUAUUUUUAUACAGAUAAUUAUGCACCAGAUUUUCAGAAAUAUGCUCUCAUAAACCUUCAACUUUAUUAUUUCCAGAUUAUUUGCACAAUGACAUGAAAAUGAUCAGAGCUGUAUUAGUGAUUGUAUAGUGAAAGAUUGAUAGUUAACUUGCACGAGGACAUCAAUUUAAAGAUCGUUUUCAUAUUUUAACCUAUAAUAUAUUCAACAUGUAUUAAACUGAGUUACACAAACCAACUAAUGUCACCAAAUUCAUCAAAUCUAAUACUGAUUACUUGUUUUUUUCAGGUGCAGACUGUGUGUUUUACAUGAUUCAUCAGCAACAAUUAAAGAUAAUUAUAAACAUUACUGAACUACGCCUCUUGUAUGUUUAGCGCCAUUAACUUGAUGGUGCUUCACAUAGUAAAGUGUGUGUAAUUAAUCUCUGGUGUGUCAUGUCCUGACUGGGAUAAAAGAUACCGCAGACGCUCUUACACCGCAGACAUUGUGACAGAGAUGUGAUACACAAAGAUCUAGUGUCUUGAUGCAGGUUGCGUUGCAGGCAGCAGUGUAGUUGGUACCUGGCGUGUCUGGCUGGGAUCCCUGUGUGUCUGGGCAUUCAGAGGAGAGGCAGAUGGACAAACACUAGUUGAAUGAAGAGAUCUCCUUCCAUCCUGUACCAUGCUGAAAGUCACCUCUAAUCUACAGAAUCUGGCAAAUCAGAGCUGUCUUGUGCAAUAGGCUGAUGUGACCGGCGAGUCCUGACAUGAUGAUCUUUAAUAGAAAGCUGCACUUCAUUAUCAAGUAGGACGUGAUGAUGGGCACAGAGCAGUGUCAUAAAACCUGUCAGAUCCUCAUCAUUUCCAUUACGAUCAUUAGACGUAAUGGAAUGAGGUCUUGGAAGGCAGUCUGAAACUUUAGGAGGUGUCUUCAUACAAAACCGUUACCAGAUAAGAUCUCGUUGUAUUACAGUCGAGAGGGCCGAGAACAGAAGGAGCGGUAGGCGAUGCUGGCAGCGGCAGAGGAACAGAUGGUUUAGGUUGCCUCUGGAUGGCUUUCAAAAAGGCUUCCCUUAGCUGAGCAGAUAUGUUUCAUUAGAAGUGGUCCUGAUGUAUUGGACAGACAUUUGCCCCUUAUAAUGCACUGCCCAUCUGGUGCUGAAGUGUUGGUCUGGGUGUUGGUUAUAUCUGCUAAAUAGAACGUAUGUGAUCUUAAACAGAAGAGAUCAGAGAAGAUAUCUAUUGUUUCUCCUUGACAGCCAUGCACGGAGAGUGUUUGCCAAGAGAGAAGAAGUCUGUGAUCUCAAUAUGAACUCAAACAUUUCUCAUCAAAUCAUCUGAGCUGCUAUGCACGUUUAUUUAUAGCGCUAUACUUUUACUGUGUUUGAACAAUUGACUCAUUUGUUUCUAUUUUUAUUGUAUAUAGAGAAGCAUCUGAGAAAAGGUUGAUGCCUAAAUGGAAUAUAUAAUGAGGACCUAUUAUGCUUUUUUACAUUUUCACCUUUCUUUAGUGUGCAAUGUUGCUGUUUGAGCAUGAAAAGGUCUGCAA